CAGCCAAGGUGGAGACUCUAUCUAUCUGUGUCCCACCGAGGAGUCUGCCUGACCGCCAGUGGUUUUUCUCUCGAACUGUAGCUGAUACUGUUGCAAACAGUUUUGGAACAAGAUGUCUGCCUAAAGCAUUGGCCACAAAUUGCAGAUGAUACUGAUAACAAAAGCCAACAACGUGAAAUAUGAAGAA